rnacentral:rRNA from 1 species
GAGCAGAGAGAGAGAGACACACACAACACAGACAGAGAGAGGGAGAGGGAGGUGGAGCGAGCGACAUGAGAGGGGUGCGCGAGCACCAGCAUGUGGUUGAGCUGGAUGGGCGCGCCUAACCCGGCGCCGCUGCCCCACCUCUCCGAAACGGGCGCUCCAAGUCGAUCCCAAUCCCAAAAACGGGACCUAAGCGCGCUCCGGGACGACUGGGUACCUGCGCCCCGUCUAUGAGAGGGGGCCGCUCCGUCUCACCGGGGGGCUCGAAGCGGAGGGCGGCGGCGGAGGGUACGGCCUGGGGCGAGGGGGAGGCGCCGGGUCGGUCGGCGGAGGUCGCGGUGGUCGCCCCAGCCGUGUGGGAGUGGCAGAGUGACGCACCGACGUCCGAGGACGGAGCUUGUUCCUCGGAAGGGGCGGAGCAGUGUGCCUCCCCAAACUACUAAGCGUGAAGGAGCCGAGCUAGUACCUCCGGCGCCGGGGCCAGGUCGUCGUCGUCGUCGUCGUCCUCCUCCUCCUUGGACGGCACCGACUCCGUGGCCACUUCUCCUUCUCUCCGUCCGGCGCCUUCUUGUCCCUGCCUCGCCAACGACGCGGACGCGGCGGGUUCGGUCACUUCUUCUUACUGCUCCUCCUCCACCACACGAAAUAGACGAAGCUGCCCCCGUCGGAGCACCAAACGCUGGCGUCCCCAACGAGGUUCCACAUGGUAGGACGGACGUAGUUCGCACUGCUCAGCAAAAAGGCGAGGGCACCGUUCACCUUAACACCAACCGUGUAAACGUCGUCGACACUUUUCCGUCGUGUCAUGUACACGAUAUGAACAUGAAUGAGGGAGACGUUCCGUACGCAGUUUGUCCCGUUUAAGAAACCACAAUCUCCCUUGUUCCCGAAGACACUGUGAACGAUACGGUGAUAUAACAACUAUCUCAGGUUUCUGGUUCUACGAUGUUUCCACUACCAACUAAAACUACUAUUUUUAUCAACCCUUAUAGAGAAGUUCAAUAUAACCGACCUACAUUUUCCCUUCGUAAAUAAUUGUAACCUUCUUGAUUAGUCACGGUUUUCGUUAACCUGACAAGCUUCGUAAAGACGAUCCUCUCUUUUUCUCCUCAGUAGACCACUCGCUAUACUUCGUUUGUUACUGGUGUUACAGUCAAGACUGUCGAGAAGCUCCUUUGCUUCAGCCCCAUGAAGAAAUUCCUUUUCCCCGGCCUUCGCCGUUUUAGUAUCAGAAUUAUGACGUUCCUUGACACUUUAAAGUUAAUUUCCAAGACUUUCGAAUGGGUUCCCUCGUGGUAAACUUCCGUACCUAAACAGCCCACUGUGCUUUACCCGGAGUGGCCUCGACGACCCUAAGUAACCCGUGUACUCUUUACCACUACACAGAGUUUAAAGGGUUAAACUACAAGUCCAAGACAACGAACUCAUAUAUUUCGUUUUAUUAGAAGCACUGGGAGCGUUUUUUUCAGUUUAAUAAACACUACGUUCCGAAUCAUCAGACAAAUCCUUUGGUGCACAACCAGUAAAGCUCUACAAUUUUGAAAACCUCUAAGUAGAAGUACACUUUCUCUGAGGUCGUAAUUUACCACUAUGGGUUAAUCGGGCACUCGGUCUAAGUCGUGUUCAUCUAUCACCUCCUGUAUCACUCUACCCUUGAUUCAAUUCGAGACUAUUCUCCUCCUUCUGAGUAUUCUUCGAACUUUCUCUAGAUGGUCGAUUAGAUCUCCUAAUACGUCGGUAACUGUACGUAUUAUAGUUAAAUUAUAUGAACGCGGCGUCGAACUACCUCCUAUAGUAACUACUACAACGACGUAAGAGACUCUUUUAAUGACCACGAAAACACUCCUAUUCUUAAGGCCCAAGACCGGUUUUCGUUCUAUACAUAGCGGAUCAGUUUCAAGAACCAUGUGUAUUUCAACGUCUUGCUAUAUCACAACCAUUCUUCUGUUGUCUGACACGUGAACUCUAUAGUUUGAAUCUAUUCUUCCUUCACUAGUGUUACCUAUGCUAGAGUUUAGUCCUAAAGUGCGUCCUACUUACGUUUGCGAAUGCGGUCUCGUACUUCAUACCAGAUUAAGGAGCUGAAUUUCACCCUCUGUAUAUACUCUAUCGGUUUUCGAAGGUUAGAGACGUUUAAUUACUAACCAACCAUUUACUUUUCGUCUCCGACUCGGUAGAGGCACUGGCACGAUCGCUUUGACCUGCGGCUUUUCUUGAUUCUCUCACGCAUCUCUUCAAUGUUGAAGACUUGUGAGGACUUCUUUAUCGUGCGUUCUAAUUACUUCAAGGUCUUCAUGUACAACUGGGGGUAUACCGAGGAUGAAUACUUAGACGACUUCUUACCUUACUACUUUGUUGACAACUAAACUGGUAUUUAUCCUUACCUGGUCUAGAAGACAAAGGACCUUCUCUUCCCUGUCUUAGUUUGCGACACGUCAUGGACAGUGUUUUUACAGGGCUACGAUCAACAGUGAGAUCAAAUUUAGAAGGAUGCCUCCCGCAUUGUGUAUAUGGUCCUCGUCCUUCAUAGUGAUUAAACGUCCGUCGUUUACCCAACUUAUAAGGAGCCGGAGCGUAACUAAAUUUAUUAUGUCGCCCACUACGACGUAGUCAAGGCAGUAGACCCCAACAUAGUUCACUGUGCCUCGGUCUUUUUCAUACCGUGAUGUUCCUGGGAAGACCUUUACAAGUCCCGGGCAAAUGAGAAAGUGUCGAUAGGUUCACCUGAUGAAUAAAGGGUUCACCGUACUUCUAUACCGAGUGUAAACUCUCACUUCUCUUGAGUAACAACGACUGACUUCACGAGAGUUGUGUCUUCUUUCUAUAGUAAGUUGGAUGCGGUCAAUAAUUGUUAUUAUUUAGACGUACCCGUCCGAGACCCGUUCUAUCUUAAUUGGGUUCAUACUGACCUUUGUAAUGAAGGGGAUAACCGAUAUUACAACAGAUGAGAAGACCCAAUGGGUCGGUCAGAAGACUGGUAGGAGGAGACUCUUCUCUUUCAGGUUUGAAAUACCCACUUCGAAACGGUAGUUGUUGUACGACCCUCGGUGACCGAAGAUCACAGGUCUAAGUCGUAGUCCGUUUGAUACGUUCGUGGUAAGGUAGAAAACGACCAAGUAUAUCUAGUUGUCCUGGAGUACCACUACCCCAGGGGGCUCUUUUCUAACCCCUUGUGUUGUUAGCGGUUCUUUGGCCACCAAACACAUCAGGUUGGGGUCGUGGUUUCUAAGUGUUGUCGGUCUCAUUGUACUUCGGACUCUCGACAAGUUCCAGUUUAGAACAACUACCUUCUCUUAGGUUAAGUCGGAACCCGUAAGGAUCAGUCAGUUCUCGAGGACGGACGCCACGUGUUAGUUGAAGUAAAUGUACGUGAAGAUCAAGUUCGUUCUGGUUCCUCUAGUACUUAGACGUCUUUGGUACGGGGGGACUACGUAGUUUACGAAGUCAAUUAGUUGAAAAACUCGGAUUUUAACUAAGUCACAAUAGGGGACCGUGAGUUCUAGUUAUAGGGUCAGGUUUAGGUUUUAAACUCUCCUUCGUCGGACACUACUUGUUCAGUCCCAGUUGUAGUCAUCGUGGACUUCUAAGUCGAUGUUUCCGUAUACUGGUGAGAAGUUAUCGAAAGCACAGUCUUUGUAGACCAGGCGGAAGUUCAUUUAAACAACCGAACGUUAAUGAAUUCCUUUGUGUUUGUAGUACACAUCUUCUUUCUCUAGAUUUUCUACCUCCGACACAGUGAGUUUGUCGUGGUGAUUUUCCUCUACGGUGUAGUCGAUUCUCUCUAUUGUAUUGACAAUCAAGACAGAGACUACGACCUCAAACACUACACGACCCUAGAAACUGUCUUGGUUUGACACCUUGAAUAUUACACGUACGACCUUACGGAAACCUUUUACAGUGGGGUCGAAGUCGACUCCUUCUUUCCGGCGUCACGAGAUCGGGAUAACGCGAUAGAGGAACCCCACUUGGAUCAAUGAUAGUUCCGCCUCGACAACUAAGACGAGACACCCCACAAGUUCUACUGGGUUCGUUACUGUACACCAGUAACAGAAGUGGUUGUGGACGAGAGGUUGGGAGGAGUCUAGAACCUCGACUACCUUUUCUAUGAAGUACGUAAUAUCUCCUCCGUCAUCAUCGGGCUCCUUCAUCGCGACAACCACUUUAUAGUGGUUGUGGUCUCCUUUUCUACCGUUUUCCGUUGGGUUCGCGAAGGUGUCUAACACCUCACGGUCUCGUCCAUUUUGAUUUUGGUUCACGACGUAACAACUUGAGUAGAGAGUUCUCGUGUCUUCGAAGUCCGCCCGUUGGUAAUCCGAGUAGAAACCUCCCCUCGUGUUUUCGAAGUCCAGCCGUUGGCCAUCCGAGUAAGGACCUGCCCUUGUGUUUUCAAAGUCCGUCCGUUCGUAGUCCGGUUAAAGAACUCCCCUCGUGUUUCCGAAGUCAUACCGUUAGUCCAAGUACAGAUCUCUGUUCGUGAUUUCCAAGUCCGACCCCAAGUAGACAUCUACCUUCGUGUUUUCCAAGUCCGACCCCAAGUAGACAUCUACCUUCGUGUUUUCCAAGUCCCGCCCCAAAUAGAGAUCUCCAUUUGCGUUUUCCAAGUCCAACCCCAAGUAGAGAUCUCCCUCCGUGUUUUCCAAGUCCAACCCCAAGUAGAGAGCUCCCUCCGUGUUUUCCAAGUCCAACCCCAAGUAGAGAUCUCCCUUCGUGUGUUCGGAGUCCGACCAAUGCUAGUUCAAGUAGAGGCCUCCCCUCUUUUUGAGGUCCAGCCGUAAGCAGUCGGGCACUCUCAAGUUUCCACUUAAAGUUCUCACCGUCGGUUUUGGCAUUGAGCAGAAGUCCAGUGGUUUGUUGUGGUUGUCGAUUUUCGAGAAGUCUUCGUGUUUCCUCUGUCCCUUCGUGGUUAAGUUUAAGACGACCGACCCCUCUCCGUGGUCCCUCGUUGUUCUCGACCGUAGGUAGAAGACCGUCACGAUCAGCUCCGUCGGUCAGCUUAGUUGUGGUACUAUCCGUGACAGUACCGUUGCUUAGUGCCGCCCCAUCGAUAGUCCCGUUACUAAGUGCCGCACCAUCGAGCUUGGUGAGAUCCUCCAGCAGACUAGUAGCAGUUCUAGUACCGUCGCCAUACAGCAGUUCUAGUAGCAGUUCUCCCGUCAGAGUUGCUCCUUAUACGUUUAUAAUACUCUUACCGGUGACGACCUUCCCCGGUAGAACGAGAAAACAUGUGGCAACUGGUAGCACCAUCCUUUGUGUAACACUUCCAUGGUGCGGAAUGGGGUGUAAAAACAUAUCGGACUGUUCGGUGAAACAUCAGUCGAAUCUUGUCUCGAGAACCGCGGUGAGUCUACGAUCAUGUAUAUAGGUAUGCUAACCUAUCGUAAAAUGCGAAUUUUCUGGUGACUGCUACUCAUACUUACGUCUAAGAGACGAAGACCUCGGACUAAAUAAGGUGAGACAAGUCAAGUUACCUCAACUGAAGUCAAAAGGGUACUGGUCCUUUUUUUACAAAUACACGCCUAUACCUAAGAUUAGGACCCGAGUAUACGUGG